UAGUGGAGUAGGUGAGGUGGUAGUGGUGCAGUGGGUUAGGUUUAGUGGAGUAGGUUUAAGUGGGUGAAGUAGGUGGAGAGUAGGUGGAUUUUAACAGACUAAUUAAUAUUUUAAAUGUGAUAUUUAUUAGUUGGUGAGUUAUUUGGUCACGUGCGAAAGCGGCAGCUGUGGGCUGAUCCAAAAAUUGUCAAGCAACUCGUCGAUGCAAACUUAUAUGCGUUACUUGGUGAAAGGACAGCUGCAGAUGAUGAAAAGCCUAUUAAAAAGAAGAAAGAAAAGCCUGUUAAAGUUGAGGAACGUACUAUUGCGGUGGAUACCCCACCAAAACCAUCUGAAGAAGAACUCAAUAAC